AUACAGGAAACUGGUAAUACCGACAUCGAGGGAGUUGACUCCAGUAAUGCAUGUUAUGGUGGAACAACUUCCCUCUUGAAUUGGGUGACUUCGGUCCAAAGUCCAUGCUGGGAUGAACGUUACGGCCUUGUAGUCUGCACAGAUAGCACGGUUUAUGCAGAGGGACCAGCUCGACCUGGUGGAGCUGCUGCAGUUGCUAUGCUUAUUGGUCCAAAUGCACCUAUUUCUUUCGAAAUCAAAUAUAGAGCUUUUCACAUGACUCAUGUUUACGAUCUCUACAAGCCUCAUCUUGCAAGUGAAUAUCAGGUUAGGAUUCCAUCACCUGUUUUUGUUUGUUUGUUUUAG
rnacentral:rRNA from 1 species